rnacentral:rRNA from 1 species
CCUACGGGGAGCAGCAGUGAGGAAUAUUGGUCAAUGGGCGGAAGCCUGAACCAGCCAAGUAGCGUGCAGGAUGACGGCCCUACGGGUUGUAAACUGCUUUUAUACGGGCAUAACGCGCCUUACGUGUAGGGCUUUGCAUGUACCGUAUGAAUAAGGACCGGCGAAUUCCGUGCCAGCAGCCGCGGUAAUACGAGGGAUGCGAGCGUUAUCCGGAUUUAUUGGGUUUAAAGGGUGCUCAGGCGGAUUUUUAAGUCAGCGGUCAAAUCGUGGGGCUAAACCCCAUCCAGCCGUUGAAACUGGGGAUCUAGAGUGUGCGAGAGGUAUGCGGAAUGCGUGGUGUAGCGGUGAAAUGCAUAGAUAUCACGAAGAACCCCGAUUGCGAAGGCAGCAUACCGGUGCACAACUGACGCUCAGGCACGAAAGCGUGGGGAUCGAACAGGAUUAGAUACCCCAGUAGUC